GGACUACACGGGUAUCUAAUCCUGUUUGCUCCCCACGCUUUCGCGUCUUAGCGUCAGAAACCGUCCAGAUAGCCGCCUUCGCCACUGGUGUUCUUCCCAAUCUCUACGUAUUUCACCACUACACUGGGAAUUCCACUAUCCUCUCCGGUCCUCUAGUCACCCAGUACCGAGUGCAUUUCUUGAGUUGAGCUCAAGGCUUUCACACCCGACUUGGAUAACCGCCUACACGCGCUUUACGCCCAGUAAUUCCGAACAACGCUAGCCCCCUUCGUCUUACCGCGGCUGCUGGCAC
rnacentral:rRNA from 1 species